CUUGCAUCUUGAAAUGGCUUCAGAAUCUCCCUGUCAUGACACCAGGAGUAGCUUUGAAAUGAAGAGAGAUAUCUUGUUAUCCACUAAGACAUCAUGGAUUCACCUGGAUGAAGAUAUUCCAACUCCAAAUGUAGCAGACAACCCUCUUGAAGACUCUAAAGAAGAAAAUAUUCGUCACUGGUUGAAUUCUGGUUUCUUCUUAUCUACAAAUGAAAACUUACAAGAUAAAGAGGAAGCAG